UCUAUAGUUUCUGUUCCUUCAUAAUUCUUGAAGUGUAGUAAAAGGCAUUGGAGUAUAAAGAAAGUUGGUUUCCAUUAGAUGGCAUUACUAUGAGAAGUCAUGGAGCAACUAUUUUUCACAUGCAGGAAACACAAAUAGAGUACAAACAACAAACGUGUAUGAGAACAAGCAAGUUUGAGAUAAAUAUACGUCAUCUUUUGAAGGUUAUUUGUAUGCAUAGGGUACUUUAAUCAUCCUAGGAACAGGCUCUGCCGAAUAAAACAAGUCUUUUAUCCAAGGAUUUGUAUUGGAACGAUGCCUUAUAUGUUGCUUCAAGUACAAGCAGACCCUAAUACUAUUUAGAGUUUCCUUCAUUGGCCUAACUAUGCAGCCUAUAUACAGUGCAUACACCUAAAGAGGGCAGUUCCACUUGCUCAAAUAUGUCAUGCUUCAUGUGCAAAAGCCUAAACUAUAAUCUAAAUGCUCUUGCAGACCACAAUAUCCUCUACUGAAGUGAAUGUAAGAUCUGCCACUCUAAGUGCCUCUCCGCCCUUCCUCACUCUUCUUCUUCUUUCCCUAAUACUUGUUGGCCCAGCAUGAUCACUUCGUAAGCAGCAUACCUUGACUGCAUAAACCGAAUAGUUUACCCUUGGAGUGUAGGUGACAUAUAACAUGGGUUUUGCUACUGUAAUAGACCCAUCCAACCCUUCAAAAUAUCAGGUUGAGAAGCCCAUGCAUUAUAUAAAUCUAUCUGUACUGUUUUUAUACAGUUUCCUUCCAGUUACACUUACAACUUUUUACGAAUCACUAAUCCAAUGACUCAUUGUCAGCUCUCACUUACUGCUCAACUGCUAACUACUUGUUCAGUUGAAUUCCGGCUCAUUGACUACCUUUUACCUCAGUUACACAUUUAACUCCUCUACCUCCAGUCACAACAUUGGACUACCUCUAUCCAAAGCUUUGAAUAAAAUAUCUCUCAUGAAUUUAAGCACUUAGGCUUGUUGUUUUAAUCCCCAACUUAUUAGCAAUCCAAAAUCUCAAGAAGAGGAGGAGAAAGAGAGAAAAAAAAGGGGUGGGGGGCAUGUAAAAGAAAAAUGGGAAAAGGUCCAUAAUAGUCUUAAUAGACUUCUAAAUUGACUUGGGGGAAAAGAAAAGGUUAGCAUAAUCAUUAUAUUACUAAAACCAUGGAUUCUAACAAGUCAUGAAGAAGACAUUGUAAGUGAUUUCUGUAAGAAGAAUUACAUAAUCUAAAUAUGAACACUCCAGCUACUGUUAUAGGCAUUUUGUCUUUCUUGAAGUCUUAGCAAAUCAUUUCUGUAAUUUUUAAUAUUGCUGUAUGCUGUGAACUGCAUCUGUAGCAGUGUUAUUAGAAUCGAACAAUACUAAUAGUAAGAUUUGUAUCAAAUCACUAGACUAAUGACGUGAAUCUUAUGGGUAUCAUAAGUAACCAAGAAUCGGACGAGAAUCGCAUGAAACAAAAGUGAACUGUAAGAAUUAAUAGUCAUAAAGAAUCAAUAGAUUUAUCGAUUCACAAAGUGCAGCAAAUGGCCAAUUUUAAGAAGUAAAUGAAUAAAAUAAAGAAGGGAAAAAAAAAAAAA